rnacentral:rRNA from 1 species
CACGUAGGCGGCUUUCUAAGUCAGGGGUGAAAUCCUGGAGCUCAACUCCAGAACUGCCUUUGAUACUGGAGAGCUUGAGUCCGGGAGAGGUGAGUGGAACUCCGAGUGUAGAGGUGAAAUUCGUAGAUAUUCGGAAGAACACCAGUGGCGAAGGCGGCUCACUGGCCCGGUACUGACGCUGAGGUGCGAAAGCGUGGGGAGCAAACA